AUUGAACGCUGGCGGCAUGCUUUACACAUGCAAGUCGAACGGUAACAGGUUAAGCUGACGAGUGGCGAACGGGUGAGUAAUGCAUCGGAACGUGCCCGAUCGUGGGGGAUAACGCAGCGAAAGCUGCGCUAAUACCGCAUACGAUCUGAGGAUGAAAGCGGGGGACCGUAAGGCCUCGCGCGAUCAGAGCGGCCGAUGUCAGAUUAGGUAGUUGGUGGGGUAAAGGCUCACCAAGCCAACGAUCUGUAGCUGGUCUGAGAGGACGACCAGCCACACCGGGACUGAGACACGGCCCAGACUCCUACGGGAGGCAGCAGUGGGGAAUUUUGGACAAUGGGCGAAAGCCUGAUCCAGCAAUGCCGCGUGCAGGAAGAAGGCCUUCGGGUUGUAAACUGCUUUUGUGCGGAGCGAAAAAGCUCUCUCUAAUACAGGGGGCUCAUGACAGUACCGUAAGAAUAAGCACCGGCUAACUACGUGCCAGCCGCCGCCGUAA
rnacentral:rRNA from 1 species